UUACCCAGGGGCACCUGAUUGGUUGAAGCUACACAGGGAUAGCUGAUUGGUUGAGGUUAUACAGGGAUAACUGAUUAGUUGAGGCUACACAGGGAUAGCUGAUUGGUUGAGGUUACACAGGGGUACUUGAUUGGUUGAGGUUACAUAGGGGUAUCUGAUUGGUCAAGGUAACAUCACGUGUCUUUGUCCCCAUCCUAGGGGAUGCUGGGAAAAUGGUGUCUGGCUUUCAGUUUGGGAAAGCGGAGCUCAUAAAGUUGGAAACACCGUAGAGCAGGAAGGGUAUUGAAAAUGCAUGGAAUAAUACCCUACAGAGCUACACACCAAGGGUUUGGUUUUACACAUAUAAGCCAGUUUGAUGCAUUUGCAGUGUCAUUAGAAGGGCCUCAAAGUGUCUGACUUGUCACAAUGGCUUGCCAGAAAUAUGGGACAGUCGAGUUACUUCUAGGAUAAAGGCAUUAUGUACUAAAGACUCCAGACUUCAUUGGAAUAACAAAAUUCUAGUAUUUAGGAAGUUAUACCAGUUUCUCGAAUCAGAGGACUGGGAAACUGAUUCGUUCAUCUUAUAAACUAUCUGUUUGAACAACUAGUUUGGAGUUGACUUGAGCAUCAUAAACUGGCUCUGUGUAUCCAUAGAGCCUCGAGUCUAGAGCACCCUGAGUUUAAUCUUGUCUCUUUCUGGAUAUCUCUAUAGACUGAGGACCAGCUAGGGUCUGCCACCUCUCUUAGGGUCCUGUGCAUUGUACUAUUGAGAAUGUUUAAUUCAUUUUGACACUUUUCUGGUGUGUUCCAAUGUGUUCAUCUUCCCCACUGACCUGCCACAGGAGUCCUAACUGCUUUGGAAUGAAUUUUAUACCUUAGAAAUCAAGGAAAUCAAGGGGGAAAAAUGCCCUUUAAAAUCUGUGUACAUCUGACUAGAAGUUUUCUAUAAUUCUUUCAUCACAAUGGCCCAAGUUGCAUAGGAAUUACAUAAUCAUCCUUCAGAUGAAGUUGACAAAUUUUGUACAUCUGUCUAAUCCCUUGCAGUAAGUGGACCAGUCAUUUAGUACCAGCUAAGGUUUCCUGGUAAAACAUGUUAUUUAUAGCACCACAUACAUGUGCCUUGCAGUGUGGGCAAUGAACAUGACAAAUGCCAGCUGAAUCCUAGAGGCGGAGAUUUCCUUUAACAUGGCCUUGUUUCCUGUUUUGCUGCUGUGUUUACUAAAAGUGUCCCAAGCCUGUCAUUUCAGGAGUGCCUCAUCUGAAAACUCUUUGCCCAGAUAAGCAAGAACUGCGCUGUCUUCUGAGGAGAUUGGUUUCCCUGCAGUGAAGGGCCUGCUGGUUAGAGACCAGGGUUGCCUUUGAGGGUAGAUGGAGCAGAGCAGAAGUGCGAGAGAAAUCCUACCAGGUGGUGGGCAUUUCCUGUGGGCAGCUCACUGUGUGCAGGUUCUUAUCUUAUAACCCCCCUGGAACAUACCGAGUAAGUACUAUGAGCUUCACUUUACAGAGGAGAACUUUAAAUCUCAGGGAAAUUAAAUCACACAAACCCAUGAACUUGGUGAGUGACAGAAUUAGAAUUCAAGUUCAUCUCUGGUUGAUUUCUAAAUCUAGGCUCUUAAUGACUACAUCACCCCAGGCCUCAAAGCUGAAAGGCAGGGAAGGCCAAUUUUAUAGACAUCACCUCGGUUCCUGUGCUAUGAAUGUUCUAGUGUUUGGUUUAAUACUCUCUCUAUUAUCAUCCAUCUUGAAAUUUGUGAUUUUUUUUUUUAAAUACAGGAGGCCCUGCAUUCUCAUUUUGCAAUAAGCCUAGAACUUGUGCAUAUAGUCAUGCCCCAGAGCACUAGCAUUUGCACUUACAAAAUGCCCUUUCUAUAGCUGUUGUGACUUCUCUUAGCUUUCUGGACCCCAAGUGCAGGCUGGAGAGCUCUGCUCUGUGAUGAAGGGCAUUUCCAAGGGCAGGAAAAAGCUGGCUGCAGGUGAAGAAGGGAGUUGGAAGGUGCUCCCUGACAAAUGUUGGCUCUCCCUGGCUCCUGUCCAGUGCCUCUUUCUCUCCACCUGUUCUUCCCUUUCUCCCCAGUUCUGUGUGGUGUGCUGGCCUUGGGUUCAGGUCUCCUGGUUCCAAAGCCCAUGCUCUCCUUGCAAACCCCAUUUAUGGACAGAGAGGUGUGCUGCUUAUUUCCAAAUCUUUUAGCAAAGUUUGAUCAGCCUGCAUUCAUGCUCCCCUCCCCCACGCCCCUAGUCAACAUUUGUGUCUAGCUGGGUGUAUCUGAGCUCAGGAGGAUGUCACUCCAUCCAGAGCUCCCUUCUGAACUCCGCGUGUUUAUUUCCAGAGGCCAACUGGACCAGUGCUCCUGGGAGUUCUGCAGGCACCUUAAGCAAAUCGUCUGCUCUCUUCUAGCUUGUUGUGACCUCAGGGAAAAGUGAACUGUGGGCCAACUCCCCAGCUGAGCAUCUUAAAGUCAUCUCCAGCUCUUAUCACUUAUUCUCAUAUCACUGAGUGUCAUUGAAUCCUAUGGAUUGUUUUCUUCCACAAGAAAAGCCUGAUGAUCCCUUGCCUAUGGCCUCCAUGUGUCCCUUGGCUAUCUCUGAAGGCUUUUCAGUCAUGGUAACUGGUCUCUUUGUCCCAUCAUCUCCCUUUUCCAGGCCAUCCUGCCUGCACUGCCAAGUUAUCCAUUGAUAAAACAAUCCCGAGCAUUCGCUCUCUGGCUUGAAACCGCUGUAAAAUCUCCACGAGUCCCUCAUGGCCACAGGACAAAGUCCAAACACCUUCCACGGCCUGAAUCUAUUCUGCUUUCUCAGCUUUGUCUUUUCUGUCCUGUCCGGGACCCCGUGCCUGAUAAAAAGAUGAGCUCAGUCCCUGCCCUGCUCUUUCUCUACCUUCCUCUUUCCCUUCGGCAUACAUGCACUCUCUUGCCUUUCCACCUUCCACCAUGGGGUGAUGCAAAUGUGGACUACUCAGCCUUGGACUUCCCAACCUUGAGAAGUAUGAGAAAUAAGUUUCUUUUCUUUAAAAUCGCCUAGUCUUUGUCAUUCUGGUAUAGGUUAACAUGAAACUAAAACAUGCUGUCUGCCUUCAAGAAUGACCCUUUUCUGAUUUCUGCCAUCACAAGUUGGUUUUGCCUAUUGUAGAAUUUCAAAUAAAUGGGAUCUUACUGAAUAGACUCUUUUGGAUCUGCCUGCCCUGGCCCCAUAUCAGUCAAGAUUCUCCAUAGCAAUAGUUUAUUCCUCUUUAUAUGUGAGUAGUAUUCUGUUGUUUGAAUGUACCAGAGUUCAUUUGUCCACUUUGUACAUCUGAGUGAGUGAGUGAGUGACCUGGACAGCUCUCAGGGCAUAAGGCAUCCUGCAAACUUGGAGGACAGCAUUGGUGAAAGUUGAAGUGUUCAUUUGGCUUUUAUCAUGGACCCUCAAGAUCCUAGCAUUACUUAUGGUAAAUGUCCCCUGCAGACCCAUUAUUUUCAUUGCUUUGCUUUCUCAACUUCUGAGAGACUGAUGAUUGACACACCUCCCUGCUCCUAGAGGAUCAGCAAAGACGUUUCUGUUCCUGACUUUUAGCCUGUGUGUUGCAAUGGAAGAAAGAUAACCGAGCAUCUUAGGAUCAUGCUCUGAGGCAAGGUCUGAGAGGGUCUCUUUUAUGAGGGUCUUUGAUUUUGGCUCCUUUGCAGUCUUUUUUAUUUUUCUUCCCAUUUAUGCUUCUUAUUCAUGCUCCAGGUGGCUGAAUUGCUCCUGGAUGGCACCCUCUGGGGCCAUUAGGUCUCUGAGCUGCAGGCUCCCCUCUACUAUGAAAGGUCUCCUGUGCCCACGACCUGGCUUGGCUCUUUCUAGCAGCUCUAGCCUCAAUACCUCCCAGGUUCUCCUAACAUCCUUUUGCCUAGGAUUCCCAAACAGAUCCCACACCCCUGCUUCAAUAUUAAAACUCGUCUGUGCCCCUGAGCCGGACUUGGCCUUCUAGGCCUUAACCUUGACCUCAGUGUUGCCUUCUUACUCAUCCUGUCACACCCCUCCUUGGCAUAGACACAUACUAAAGUGAAACUGUGCCCAGGUGCCAGGUUAUGAACCCUGGGAGUGACCACCCGAGCCCUCAUUCCUCCCACCUGCUCACCACCCCCUGACAUGCAGAGCUUUGGCUGUGUACAGUUGCACAAAUGGAAUCCUUUGCCCCACCACAGAACUCUGAAGCUAGAGAUAACAGCCCUGUGGAAGGACAAAGUAGGAUUAAGUAUGAAAAAAUGAAGUGACUUAACCAAGAAGAAGCUGGCCAUCCCCACAGGUCACUCAUGCCACAAUGGGUUCCAAGUCUACUGUCAUUUAAUAAGGCGACCAGCUGUCUCUGCCUGAGCUUCUUCCAGUUUUACCACCAGAAGUCCUGCAUCCUGGGGGAACUCUCAAUGGUGGGCAAAUUGGGAUAAUUCAUCUAAAAUUGAAAAACAGCCUUGGAAACGCAGUCUUCUUUAAUCAAAAGGCACUCUUGCAUUUUGCCUUCCUGAAGAAAUCGUGUUAUUGUAACCUUAACAUGCAUUUAUUAAUCGAAAGGAGGCAAAGUUUUAAAGAGCACAGCUUGUAUAGAGAAUGCCCAUCUGUAGUGUGUUUUCUUUUUUAGUGCAUCAGGGGUUGAUGUAGGUCAGGUUGACAGGGAUCUCACAGGGCUUCUCGCCACCAGGAGCCCAGUUAUUCACGUGUUCACGACUGGGAUUUACCCCGCUGUCAAUUCACUACCACUCUGGCACGGUGUUCCUAGAAUGUAAAUAAUCAAACAGUCUGCACUUGCUGGAGGGGCAUUUACUCAACCUCCCGUACACAGGAAGUGCCAGCUUGGAAGGACUUCUAUUUUGGAAAGUGAAGAAAGCCAAAACAAAGACAGGGAGUGUGUGUGUCCCGGACAAUGGAGAAUGUGGCAUCCUGACCUGGAAAUAGAGGAGAUUUGUGGCUCUUUGCUUCAUGUGUUUUCGAUCUUGGGAGAAAGAUGCUUUAAUUCACUGAGAUUUAGGCUGUUAUGUCAAUAAAAGAAUUUUGUCUCCGGAGAUAAACGGGAAGGAGACCUUCAAGAACAAUUCAGGGGAGACCUUCAAGAACAAUCCUGGAGCAGUCGUGGUAGAGAAGCAGGUAGCAGAAUUAAACGGAGCCGGUCAACAGGUAGGAAUGGCCAGGGCUGGGGCUGGGGCUGGGGAGACGUGAACUUGUGAAAAUUACACCCACUUUCCAGGCAGGAAGGGAUUGUUUUUAGAAAGAAUGAGACAAGAAUCUCAGAGGGCAAGUUCAUCAUGGGCUGAAUGCUUUGGGGGAAGAAGGGGUUACUUAAAUUCUAAACUGAAGGAAAGAGGUACCUAAUGAUAGAUAUACUUCUGAGAAUUGCAUCAUUAGCAGAUUUUUGUCACCAUUGGAGCAUCAUAGAGUGUCCAGACUAAGAUGGCUGCAGUGUCACUGGGCAAUAUAAUCUUAUGGGACCACUGUCAUAUGGGCAGUCCAUUGCUGACUGAAAGGUUACCUGGUGCAUGAAUGUAUAUGAAAGAAGGAGAAAGGGAGGGGUGUGAGUGCAUUUGGGACACCCUAACCUAUGUGCCCAGGUUUCUGACUCCCAAGGUCAAGGGCUUUUUACUCCAGAAGUGCCUCUUGUUUUUGUACUGCCCCCGAUAAAGUGCCGUAAUAAGCACUAAAUAUAUAUGAUUUUACUUGGAUAUGAGAAUUCUUCAUUUCUGUUAAGGACCACAGAGUCCUGCAGCCCUGGGUUCUUCCACUUACCAGUUUGGUGUCCCCAGGCAAUUUUAUGGAACAAGAAACCCUCAGAUUUCUCUUUUGUAUAAUGGGGUAAUGACUGCCUUGUCUAUCUCCAGAUUUGUUGUGAGGAUAAAAAUGAGACUGUAGCUAGGAGCGGUGGUGCAUGCCUGUAACCCCAGUGAUUUGGGAGGCUGGGGCAGGAGGAUCAUAAGUAUGAGGCCUCAAAAUGAAAAAUAAAAGGGGCUGGGAUGUGGCUCAGUGGCUAAGCAUUCCUGGGUUCAAUCCCCAGUACCAAACAAACACCCCCUCCCCCCACAAAUGGGCACUUAACCACUGAGCCACAUCUCCAGCCUUUUUAAAUUUAUUUGUGAAUUUUAAAAAUUUUCAGACAGGGUCUUGCUAGGUUGCUUAGGGCCUCACUAAGUUGUUGAGGCUGGCUUCAAAUUUGUGAUCCUCCUCCCUCAGCCUCCCCUGAGUCACUGGGAUUACAGGCUACAGGCGUGCACCACUGUGCCCAGCCCAGGCCUGAUGUUCUUACAAGAAGUAGAAGAGUCCCCAGAGACCUCUUUCUCUCUCUCCUCAGGUGCACAGAGAAAAGGCCAUGUGCAAACACCAUGAACAGGAGGCCAUCUGAAAGCCAGCAAGACAGACCUCAUCAGAGACCAACCCUGUUGGCAACUUGAUCUUGGACCUCCAGCCCCGAAACCAUGAGAAAAUAAAUUUCUGUUGUUUAAGUCACUCAGUUUGUGGGAUUCGGUUCUGGCAGCCUAAGGACACUCAUGCAUGGGGAACCUAACAUUUAUGCAGCAAAUGAAAUCUUGCAGAAUACUUUCCUGUACGUCUUCUAAAUUUUUAAUAUUUUUUUUUUGCGAAAGGGAUAAAAAGAAUUAUGAAGUUUGUUUUUAUUAAGCAUGCAAAUUUCCUGUAUUCUGAAAUGUUAUUGGGAAUGGGAUCGGAUGUUGUCUUUCUGAUUUGCAUUACAUAAACCAGGUGGAAAUUUUGACCAUUAAGCAGGGUUCCUAAAAGUGCAGUACCCUUGGGAAAAGCUCCUGUGCUUUCUACCCUAAAUCCUUCCCCCUGAAUGUUGUUAGUGUUUUAGGGGACUGAUAAGACUCUUUUUCCCCUCAGCUGAAAUAAUGGUGUGAAAUGCUGGUUUGCAAUAAAAGGAUACAAUCUUGGGGAAAUAAUUCCCAGAAAUACCAAGUGUCCUUCCCAGCUCCCGUCCUGACUUCUUGGAUGACCAAGUCACAGAUGCUCUGCUUCCUUCGUGGUUCCCAGUGGCUUACUUGAGUUCACCUGCCCUUUGUCCCUUCUCUUUCCUCUCUACUGAGUCGUUUCUCUUCCACCCCCACAUAAAAAAUCCUGCCUCUCCCUCAUUUCAGGAAGAACUAUAGAUAGUUGCAGGUAAGAGGCAACUGGAACAAGCAGCCCCCAGAUAAUGUAUAAUGGAGUAACGCCUGCCUUGUCUAUCUCCAGAUUUGUUGUGAGAUAAAAAGUGGGAAUGAAGCUGGGGUGGUGGUGCAUGGUCUCCUGUUCCCUCAACCCACGUAGGUCUUGGAAAGCUAAAAGUGUCACUGUUGUUCUCUCAAGAAUCUAUGCUAGAUUAGACACUUUUGGGGUCACUAAUUCAGUCUUAGGAAAUAAGGUCUUUUUUGGUUCUUUCUUUCUCUUUUUUGCAAUAUGCUAAUCUUACCCUAGUGGGGUAAAUUGCUGUCCUCCAAAGACUUUGAGCAUCUACCUGUCGCCCAUGGACAAAGGCAACUGGUUUUCAGGUCUCUUUAGGAAGGAUCAGGGCCAGGGUGGCCGCAUGUAUUAAGGAGUUGGAGGGUUGGGUAUCCUCAGGGCAGGCGCUGCUCUUCCUUUAUUGUGGUAAAGUAUACAUAACAUAGCAUUUACUGUUUUAGCCAUGUUUAAGCCUGUAGUUCUCUCACUGUUGUGCAACCACCACCACCAUCCAUCUCCAGAACUUUCUCAUCUUCCCAAAUUGAAACUCUGUUACCACACUUUAGCUAUUGUGAUUGUGCUGCUAUAAACAUUUUGAUGUGGCUGUGUCCCUGUAGUAUGCUGUUUUUAAGUCCUUUGGGUAUAGACCAAGGAGUGGGAUAGCUGGGUCAAAUGGUGGUUCCAUUCCCAGUUUUCCAAGGAUUCUCCAUACUGCUUUCCAUAUUGGCCACACCAAUUUGCAGUCCCACCAGCAAUGUAUGAGUGUGCUUUCUUCCCCACAUCCUCGCCAACACUUAUUGUUGUUUGUACUCUUAAUAGCUGCAAUUCUGACUGGAGUGAGAUGAAAUCUUAGAGUAGUUUUGAUUUGCAUUUCUCUGAUUGCUAGAGAUGAUGAACAUUUUUUCAUAUAUUUGUUGAUUGAUUGAAUAUCCUCUUCUGAGAGUGUCUGUUCAGGUCCUUCACCCAUUUAUUGAUUGGGUUAUUUGCUUUUUUUGGUAUUUAGCUUUUUGAGUUUUUUAUAUACCCUAGAGAUUAGUGCUCUAUCUGAUGUGUGAGGGGUAGAAAUUUGCUUCCAAGAUAUAGGGUCUCUAUUCACCUCACAGAUUGUUUCUUUUGCUGAGUAGAAACUCUUUAGUUUGAAUUCAUCCCAUUUAUUAACUCUUGAUUUUAAGUCUUGUGAUGCCCUUCAGUAGAUAAAUAGAUAAAAAUAUGUCAUAUCUACACAAUAGAAUAUUACUCAGGAAUAAAAGAGUAAAAUCAUGGCAUUUACAGAUAAAUGAAUGGAGUUGGAGAAGAUAAUGCUAAGUGAAGUUAGCUAAUCCCAAAAAAACAAAUGCAAAUGUUUUCUCUGAUAUAAGGAGGCUGAUUCAUAGUGGGGUAGGGACGGGGUGCAUGGGAGGAAUAGAUGAAUUCUAGAUAGGGCAGAGGGGUGGGAGGGGGAGAGAGGGGGCAGAGGGUUAGAAAUGUUGGUGGAAUGUGAUGGACAUCAUUAUCCAAAGAACAUCUAUGAAGACAUGAAUUGGUGUGAAUAUACUUUAUAUACAACCAGAAUAUGAAAAAUUAUGCUCUAUAUGUGUAAUACGAAUUGUAAUGUAUUCUGCUG
rnacentral:lncRNA from 1 species